CACGAACUGUGCAAACGUUAUUCGGAAUCACUGGGCUUAAAGAGUUCGUAGGCGGCGCGUUAAGUCGGGUGUGAAAGCCCUCGGCUCAACCGAGGAAUUGCGCCCGAAACUGGCGUGCUUGAGUAAGAUAGAGGUGAGCGGAACUGAUGGUGGAGCGGUGAAAUGCGUUGAUAUCAUCAGGAACACCGGUGGCGAAAGCGGCUCACUGGGUCUUAACUGACGCUGAGGAACGAAAGCUAGGGGAG
rnacentral:rRNA from 1 species